AGCCCCCCUAACAUUAAAGAAAUUGCCUAUUUAUCCCAAUAACAAUACUUUAAAAUGAGCUGCAUCCAUGUCCAAUAAGUCAAGAAGUAUAAUCUUAAGGAUAGGAAGUAAAUGACCCCAGAAAGCAUAUGGUACAAAACCACAGCUCGAUUUUUAUCGGAUUUCUCAUAGAUUGACGUCUGUUUGCAGAAUAUGUUUUUCAGGAAGUGAUCGGCAUGGGAGAUGAUAAAGCGCUGUAUUUGCUCUUCCUUGUGAGUGAAGAGAAAAAUGUGGGCAUCUUUGAAUUUUGCCAACCUCGUUCAGAAUAUGUUGAGAUCCAAAUGCAGGAUAAAGUCAUGAAGAUAUCUAUCAUUAGUCCAUGGGUCAAGUUCACUACCUAACUUUUUAUCUGGAUUGGAGUAAGUCCAUUAUUGGUCAUGCAGAAAUAAAGGGGAAACCUCGAUUUUAAAUUUCAUAGAGGCUAUCAGAAUAUUACAGAGAGGUUGGCAAGGGACUGAUUGGAGGGAAGACGAGAAGAAUGGAAAGAGACUCAGCUUUCAGAUUGGGGAAGAUAACCGAGCAGAAAGGCAUUUUAGGUCCCGGUCCAGCAGAAUUGCGCUUUCCAGAAGCUCUGUGAUCUGUUUCUAAUUUGGGUUUUGGAUGAAAUGUGGAUUAAAGAAGCAAAAAGUUAGCAUAGUUGUUGUCUGGUGCAUUUCAUAUCUGCUAAUGCACUGUAGAUACAUUCAUAUUGGCACAGUAUUGGACUGUACACUAAACUAAGAUUACGCUUUUUUUCUUUUUUAAUAUUUAUCAACGCUGUAAGAAACUGUAUGUAUGGGUUUCGUGUAAUGAGGGUUUUGUUUGUUAGUU